GUUGAAACAUUAGUUUUCGUACGAUCACCGAAGUUAAGCGACGUCAAUCCUGGUCAGAACCGAGAUGGGUGACCGCUUGGGAAAACGAGGUGCUGUAA